AUGAGCAGCCAGGUGUCGUCCUCGCCGUCGACGACGACGGUGUCGUCGACGCCACGGAGCGAGGGCGAGAUCCUCCAGUCGGCCAACAUCAAGAGUUUCGCCUUCACGGAGCUGAUUUUCAGCUGGCUGCUGCUGCUGCUGCCCCCGGUAGCGCCGGCACCGUGCUGCCGCGUCCGGCACUCGCACCGGCGGCCGGCGGGGCACGCCUUCAAGUACGCCGUGCGCUACGUCCUCGUGGACCUCGACCACCUCGUUGUUGUUGUAAAUUUUCCUCAUUUGCGCUGA
rnacentral:rRNA from 1 species